GCUGCCAUAGCUGUUCCGGGUUCCUGAAGCAUCGCACAAUCGGCACAAGUUGCUUGGAAAUUCGGGACCGCAUCGUCCAUUGCUAGAUCUAGCUGCUUGCAAGCUUCCGGCAAGCCAGCCUGGCGACUGGAAAAUCUAGGACGAUGAUUUGGAUUCGAUGGCCAGGCUGUGUGGCUUUGACGAUGGAGUCGUAGAAGAUGUUUCGAGAAGCUUCGAGAAGCGAAGAGUUUUGCCAUGUCAAGACGGAUCAGCUGAUGCCACCGCCGUUGGAUCUGCCUCGAGAAGACAAGAGGAGCUGCUGAGCCUCGUUAGAUAUGCUACUGCACCACCGGAGACCAUCGCCGCUACUGGAGUUCAUUGAUGUAGCCGCCAGAGCAGAAAUCAAGUUCGCCGGAUCUUGUUGCCUCGCCGUCAAUCUGCUACUAAGCUAGGAGUGAGAGUCACCACUUCCCUGACCUCGAAAUCUUCCAGGCAAACCGCGCACCUCUUCCAGUUUUCGUCUUUGUCCUUUGACACCUCCUGCGCCUGUGUGGUGUGGUUCCUGUCCAUGAAGUAGAGGUUUGGGAGAGUUGUUGCAGGGUUGUAAAUUUCUUUCGAGCUUGGCUAACACCUUGUGCUACUCGUCUGUGGUUAGCUUGGAUUCGUUGGUCGAGGACUGAGGAUUAUCAUCUUCGCGCUGCUGCAUGAACAGCCAAAAAGAAGGAGGAGGAGAGCGUGCAGCAGGAACCAUUCG